AUUGCACUUUAGUUCUUUUAGCAUUUUUUUAAUAGGCCUUCUGGUAAAUCUAUUCAUUCAGCAUCUUAUUUUUGGCUGUGUUACUAUUAAGAAUUCUCCAUGUAGGUAUAUUUUUCUCUUUCAACUUCAGGAGACAAAAUGAGAGAGCAUCGUAACAUUUUAAGUCAAAAAUAGAAUUUAGAAUGAAAUGUUCUAGCAGUUAUCUUGUAAAGAGCAAAAUGAACUAGAAAAUUGAGUAAAUUAACAGGAGAAUUCAGGAUAGAUUUUCCCACAACAUAUACAAGACGAACAUGAGUUUUACAGGACUGUGUAAAUGACGGAAUUUGGUGGCUCAUUAAAUGGACCUGUGGUUAGCAUGGGAAACAAGAGGAUGGGGCAUCUCGUUGAGAGAAAAAUUAGUGCUUUAUCAGCUGCUCGCAUCCAAUGCCUGCACCAGGCUGGUACCUUAAGAACUGCUCACCACUCAGAGAUACCAAUCACGGCCCUAUCAAACCCCCA
rnacentral:lncRNA from 1 species